GAUUAAAGCAGGCAGUGCUGGGUAUAAAAGCGAGGAAAUAAAAGAGCUAAAGGAGAGUGAGAAGAGGAAGGAAAAAGAUAGGAAAGACUCAGGGGCUCUCCGACUGUCAUGACCAAUGUUCCCAUGGUUGGAAGUGACAUCAGGGGACGCUGAGAUUGACAGGGAUGGUGAAUUAAAGUUCUCUCUCGAGUCAAGAUAGAGGCUAAAGGAGCAAAAAUCAAAACGUGCAGUAAAGUUUGCCAACAAUAGCAGUGUACUCUUUGCGGUGAUAUGAAAACCCCCAGGCCAACUCCUGCUAUUCACAGACGGGACUAUCUGCACUCACACAAGCACGUCAAAGGGGGCCGCACCAAGAUGAACUAUGCUGGGAACCUGUCACAUGAAAGUGAUAAAAAAGAAAAUCCACUUAAGUAACAUUUAACAAAAUUUCUUCGAUAAGAAAAAAACGGCCCUGACAGUCAUCAUGGGCAAUGAACAAUCAUUCAAUAUGAAAACGACUUUUUGCACAGUAAAAUAUCUGUGUACGGUAUUUUAUUUUUUUCAAAAGGAAGUUCCUUCCUUAUAGCAGAGCGGAUUGUUCUCCAGCUUUGUUUAUGUAAAGCUUUGUUUAUGCUUAAAAUUAUAUUUCACUCUGUGACAGGAGCACAACCAGUUUAGUCCAGGAACAAAUACAACAGUUGGAGUGAGUGUGAAUUUAUUUUUGCUCCGCAUCUAUUGUUUUCCAUUAAAACCUCAACACAACAC